rnacentral:rRNA from 1 species
GAGUUUUGAUCAUGGCUCAGGACGAACGCUGGCGGCGCGCCUAACACAUGCAAGUCGAACGAGAGAGAAGGAGCUUGCUUCUUCGAUCGAGUGGCGAACGGGUGAGUAACGCGUGAGGAACCUGCCUCAAAGAGGGGGACAACAGUUGGAAACGACUGCUAAUACCGCAUAAGCCCACGGGCCGGCAUCGACCUGAGGGAAAAGGAGUGAUCCGCUUUGAGAUGGCCUCGCGUCCGAUUAGCUAGUUGGUGAGGUAACGGCCCACCAAGGCAACGAUCGGUAGCCGGACUGAGAGGUUGAACGGCCACAUUGGGACUGAGACACGGCCCAGACUCCUACGGGAGGCAGCA